rnacentral:rRNA from 1 species
GUCCUUUUGUUAAUAAUUUAAGGUCUGACCUGCCCACUGAAAUUUUAAAUGGCCGUGGUAUUUUGACCGUGCUAAGGUAGCAUAAUCAUUAGUUUUUUAAUUAAAAACUGGAAUGAAGGGUUGGAUAAGAAAAUAGCUGUCUCUAUUAAAUUUAAUUAGAAUUUUAUUUUUAAGUUAAAAAGCUUAAUUAUUAUUAAAAGACGAGAAGACCCUAUAGAGUUUAAUUAUUAGGUAAAAAUUAUAUUUUAGUAUUAAAUUAUUUAUUUUAUAAUAUAAUUUAAUUGGGGUGAUUGAAAAAUUUAAUAAACUUUUUUUAUUUAAAAACAUUAAUUUAUGAAUAAAUGAUCCAAUAUUUUUGAUUAUAAGAUAAAAUUACCUUAGGGAUAACAGCGUAAUUUUUUUAUAAAGUUCAUAUUAAAAAAAAAGAUUGCGA